UACGAAGGGGGCGAGCGUUGUUCGGAUUUACUGGGCGUAAAGGGCGCGUAGGCGGCGGGUCAAGUCGAGUGUGAAAGCCCCGGGCUCAACCUGGGAAUUGCGCUCGAGACUGGUCUGCUUGAGUUCGGGAGAGGAGAGUGGAAUUCCCAGUGUAGAGGUGAAAUUCGUAGAUAUUGGGAAGAACACCGGUGGCGAAGGCGGCUCUCUGGACCGAGACUGACGCUGAGGCGCGAAAGCGUGGGUAGCAAACAGG
rnacentral:rRNA from 1 species